UACGUAGGGGGCGAGCGUUGUCCGGAAUUACUGGGUGUAAAGGGCGUGUAGGCGGGGAUGCAAGUUAUCGGUAAAAACCCCAGGCUCAACUUGGGGCUUGCCGAUAAAACUGCAACUCUUGAGUGCAGGAGAGGGAAGUGGAAUUCCCGGAGUAGCGGUGAAAUGCGUAGAUACCGGGAGGAACACCAGUGGCGAAGGCGGCUUCCUGGCCUGUAACUGACGCUGAGGCGCGAAAGCUGGGGGAG
rnacentral:rRNA from 1 species